ensembl:antisense Gm13944 predicted gene 13944
CAGGAGCUGGAGUACGGACUGGCACAGUCAGGACCCUGAAGUUUGAGGAUGUCAGGUGACAUUAUCUUGUCUAAGCAAAAUGUCAAGGUCCAGCUGCUCGGCCGCUGAAGCCUCCCUGCUGUAACAGACUGAAACCUAAACGAAUCUCUCAUCCUGUGGCUUGAAUAGAAUACGCUCAACUUGGGUUCCGUGUAUGACCUCUUACUGGUGGCAUUAAGGAGAUAGACAGUGGAACCCUCAGGAGAUGCUCUCGCUGCCCAGUCUGUUGGAUCCCUUGGGACAACUGCUGGUGCUCUGGACCCUCACGUCUGAACGAAGGACCCUGAUGGGCAGAGAGGAGAAAACGUCUGAAGGAAUGCCUAACUUAUGGAAGGAGAUCUGUCCAGCCUGUCGGUGUAUGCGGUGAACCUGCUUGCUCUGGGUGGAAUGUGACCAUCAGCACGCGACUCAGAGCUGCCGCCAUCCUCCCUGGAGGGAUGGAGAGCCUACAAGGCUCAUGGGGCUUCUGGGGGUGCAGGAGCCUUCAUGGCUAUCCUCUCUGA